CAAACAGGUCAGUUAGAACAAAACAUCACAGCGUUCAGAUCAGAGGCAACGUUUUAAGUCAGCUUCAUACAGAGCUGCUUGCAGAUUAGAAAGAGCUUGACAGUGACAUAAAUAUCUGCAGCAAGGCUAUCAGAAAUCCUCAAAGCAUGCAUUUCUGAGUUUCCCACAGUAUUACUGGACUUAUUUCAGGUUUUGGCACCAGAAAUUAGAGGUGGACUAUUUAAAGGCAGAGUAACAGGUCUUUGAGAGCCAGACUUCUUGCUGAUUGCCAGG